rnacentral:rRNA from 1 species
CGGCGUGCCUAAUACAUGCAAGUCGAGCGAACGGACGAGAAGCUUGCUUCUCUGAUGUUAGCGGCGGACGGGUGAGUAACACGUGGAUAACCUACCUAUAAGACUGGGAUAACUCCGGGAAACCGGAGCUAAUACCGGAUAAUAUUUUGAACCGCAUGGUUCAAAAGUGAAAGACGGUCUUGCUGUCACUUAUAGAUGGAUCCGCGCUGCAUUAGCUAGUUGGUAAGGUAACGGCUUACCAAGGCAACGAUGCAUAGCCGACCUGAGAGGGUGAUCGGCCACACUGGAACUGAGACACGGUCCAGACUCCUACGGGAGGCAGCAGUAGGGAAUCUUCCGCAAUGGGCGAAAGCCUGACGGAGCAACGCCGCGUGAGUGAUGAAGGUCUUCGGAUCGUAAAACUCUGUUAUUAGGGAAGAACAUAUGUGUAAGUAACUGUGCACAUCUUGACGGUACCUAAUCAGAAAGCCACGGCUAACUACGUGCCAGCAGCCGCGGUAAUACGUAGGUGGCAAGCGUUAUCCGGAAUUAUUGGGCGUAAAGCGCGCGUAGGCGGUUUUUUAAGUCUGAUGUGAAAGCCCACGGCUCAACCGUGGAGGGUCAUUGGAAACUGGAAAACUUGAGUGCAGAAGAGGAAAGUGGAAUUCCAUGUGUAGCGGUGAAAUGCGCAGAGAUAUGGAGGAACACCAGUGGCGAAGGCGACUUUCUGGUCUGUAACUGACGCUGAUGUGCGAAAGCGUG